rnacentral:rRNA from 1 species
CCUACGGGAGGCAGCAGUGAGGAAUAUUGGUCAAUGGGCGCUAGCCUGAACCAGCCAAGUAGCGUGAAGGAAGACUGCCCUAUGGGUUGUAAACCUCUUUUAUCUGGGAACAAAGUGCAGUAUGUAUACCGUUUUGAAUGUACCCUAUGAAUAAGGAUCGGCUAACUCCGUGCCAGCAGCCGCGGUAAUACGGAGGAUCCGAGCGUUAUCCGGAUUUAUUGGGUUUAAAGGGUGCGUAGGCGGGUGGUUAAGUCAGUGGUGAAAGUUUGCGGCUCAACCGUAAAAUUGCAGUUGAUACUGGUAUCCUUGAGUGCGGGAGAGGUAGGCGGAAUGCGUGGUGUAGCGGUGAAAUGCAUAGAUAUCACGAAGAACUCCGAUUGCGAAGGCAGCCUGCUGGACUGUAACUGACGCUGAUGCUCGAAAGUGUGGGUAUCGAACAGGAUUAGAUACCCCAGUAGUC